rnacentral:rRNA from 1 species
UACGUAGGGGCUAGCGUUGUCCGGAAUCAUUGGGCGUAAAGAGCGUGUAGGCGGCCCGAUAAGUCCGCUGUGAAAGUCCAGGCUCAACCCUGGGAUGCCGGUGGAUACUGUCGGGCUCGAGUCCGGAAGAGGAGUGUGGAAUUCCUGGUGUAGCGGUGAAAUGCGCAGAUAUCAGGAGGAACACCAAUGGCGAAGGCAGCACUCUGGGACGUGACUGACGCUGAGACGCGAAAGCGUGGGGAGCAAACAGG